ensembl:lncRNA
CCCAGUGUGAUGCUACCUGGAGAUACAGUUUGGAAAGACAGUUUGUCCAGAAGGGUGGUGCCCUUAUCAGUGGGAUUAGUGCCCUUAGAAGAAAAGAUGCCAGAGAGAUGAUCACGUUCUGCUCUCUACCAUGUGCAGACUCAGUAAGGAGACAGCAACUAUGAACCAGGAAACCUCACCAGACCCAAAUCUGCCUGCACACGGAUGUUAGCUUUCCCAGGUUCCGGCACUAUGAAAAGAGGAGAAUUUGAGGAUUUUUCUGAACAGUUUACAUUCCUAAGGAGGGAGACAGUCUUUUGCCUUCAAAUGAGCUCUGUGAAAUCCCUUUUAGUGUUGUAAAACAUACCUCCUUAGUCUCAGAUGGUACCUUUGCCUUAAAACUCAGACUUGAGGAUGAAGUGGAGAGUGAAGAACUUAAACCUCUGCUGCUUGCAGUCUCUGGAUGUCUGCCGAGCAGUAAGCAUCAACUCACAGACAGGAUAUUUUGAAGGCUGCUCCAUGGAGGUGCCCGUUAGACUCUGACGCUCUCUCAGGCCCAGAUGCAAUCUCAUUUAUCACAGUGUUCCUGGGGCCAGCAAUUUGCAAUUCUAUGGCAGAAAGCAGUUAUUCAACAAAUAUCGGCCCCUUG